rnacentral:rRNA from 1 species
CUGCAGUCGAGCGGAUGAGAGAGCUUGCUCUCUUGAUUCAGCGGCGGACGGGUGAGUAAUGCCUAGGAAUCUUGCCUGGUAGUGGGGGACAACGUCUCGAAAGGGACGCUAAUACCGCAUACGUCCUACGGGAGAAAGCAGGGGACCUUCGGGCCUUGCGCUAUCAGAUGAGCCUAGGUCGGAUUAGCUAGUUGGUGAGGUAAUGGCUCACCAAGGCGACGAUCCGUAACUGGUCUGAGAGGAUGAUCAGUCACACUGGAACUGAGACACGGUCCAGACUCCUACGGGAGGCAGCAGUGGGGAAUAUUGGACAAUGGGCGAAAGCCUGAUCCAGCCAUGCCGCGUGUGUGAAGAAGGUCUUCGGAUUGUAAAGCACUUUAAGUUGGGAGGAAGGGCAGUAAGCGAAUACCUUGCUGUUUUGACGUUACCGACAGAAUAAGCACCGGCUAACUCUGUGCCAGCAGCCG